UACGUAGGGUGCAAGCGUUAUUCGGAAUUACUGGGCGUAAAGCGUGCGCAGGCGGUGAUGUAAGACAGUUGUGAAAUCCCCGGGCUCAACCUGGGAACUGCAUCUGUGACUGCAUCGCUGGAGUGCGGCAGAGGGGGAUGGAAUUCCGCGUGUAGCAGUGAAAUGCGUAGAUAUGCGGAGGAACACCGAUGGCGAAGGCAAUCCCCUGGGCCUGCACUGACGCUCAUGCACGAAAGCGUUGGGAGCAAACAGG
rnacentral:rRNA from 1 species